AUAAAAACUCCAGGUUAAUCAUUCUCUUAGGUUAUUGUGUUUAAAAAAAAAAUUGAAAAAUACAAAAAAAUUGAGAACACGUCUCUUAUGAGACAGCUGUCGCAUUCUUCUUCGUUCCUGCCUCUGAGCCGCGUUAUCUCUGCAACAACAACAAAGCUGAGUCUUGUUCAUCCUCCAUUCUCCUCCUCUUCGACCUAUCUCGCUUCCGCAGCAACCCUCCUACGGCUUCGUCUCAAAGCUCUGUUGUUUCAUGUUGAAUGAAAUCCUUAUUUCGAGGGCACUGGUUUCAUCACUGUUGCUUUGGAUGUGGAGAUUGUUCCUCCAGAGAACUCAGUGCUCAAUACCGCAGCGGAAAGGUUCUUUAAGAGCGAGAUAAGGAGGAGGUUGUUUGUGACGUCUGUGUUGCUUGUACUUAGCCGUGUUGGAUAUUUAAUCCCUUUGCCUGGGUUUGACAGAAGAUUAAUACCUCAAGAUUACCUUAGCUUUGUCUCAGGUUCCGUUGUGGAAGGUAUAGUGGUGGCUUGCACUUCUCUCCAGUACUCUGUUUUUGUAGCCACAGCUCAGUAAUCGAUCAACUAAUCCAAGUCCAUGGCUGGGAGAAUCAUUGCGCAGUUCAUUGUGAUGGGUUCUGGGAUAUUAGGUCGUGCUUUCUUUCAAGCUUAUCGUCAGGCCAUUGCAAGUCAAGAAGAGUGAGAGUAACGCUGUAAGAAUUUUGCAAUGGAGCAAUUAAAUGUUGGGGAUUCUUAAAUUUCUCUUAAGUCACUUUUUGUACUUAAAAGCAUUAAACAAAUAAUAAGAACCCCUAAUAUGGGUCUUUGCAAUAAUCAUGCUCUUAUGAACUUAUAAUCAAUGGUCAAAGUGAAGUCAAUAUAUUUAUUUGUAACACAUUUCGAAGUGAAGUCUAGGCACGUGUAUACAAAUGAUUAUAUAUUGUCAUAUUGAUCAUACUAGCUGAAAACU